rnacentral:rRNA from 1 species
ACGGAAGGCAGCAGUGGGGAAUAUUGGGCAAUGGGCGUAAGCCUGACCCAGCAACGCCGCGUGAAGGAAGAAGGUCUUCGGAUUGUAAACUUCUUUUAUGAGGGACGAAGGAAGUGACGGUACCUCAUGAAUAAGCCACGGCUAACUACGUGCCAGCAGCCGCGGUAAUACGUAGGUGGCAAGCGUUAUCCGGAUUUACUGGGUGUAAAGGGCGCGUAGGCGGGGAUGCAAGUCAGGUGUGAAAUCUAUGGGCUUAACUCAUAAACUGCAUUUGAAACUGUUAUUCUUGAGUAUCGGAGAGGCAGGCGGAAUUCCUAGUGUAGCGGUGAAAUGCGUAGAUAUUAGGAGGAACACCAGUGGCGAAGGCGGCUUGCUGGACGACAACUGACGCUGAGGCGCGAAAGCGUGGGGAGCAAACAGGAUUAGAUACCCUGGUA